rnacentral:rRNA from 1 species
GAUGAACGCUGGCGGCGUGCCUAAUACAUGCAAGUCGAGCGAACGGACGAGAAGCUUGCUUCUCUGAUGUUAGCGGCGGACGGGUGAGUAACACGUGGAUAACUUACCUAUAAGACUGGGAUAACUUCGGGAAACCGGAGCUAAUACCGGAUAAUAUUUUGAACCGCAUGGUUCAAAAGUGAAAGACGGUCUUGCUGUCACUUAUAGAUGGAUCCGCGCUGCAUUAGCUAGUUGGUAAGGUAACGGCUUACCAAGGCAACGAUGCAUAGCCGACCCGAGAGGGUGAUCGGCCACACUGGAACUGAGACACGGUCCAGACUCCUACGGGAGGCAGCAGUAGGGAAUCUUCCGCAAUGGGCGAAAGCCUGACGGAGCAACGCCGCGUGAGUGAUGAAGGUCUUCGGAUCGUAAAACUCUGUUAUUAGGGAAGAACAUAUGUGUAAGUAACUGUGCACAUCUUGACGGUACCUAAUCAGAAAGCCACGGCUAACUACGUG